UCUUGACGUGCUCGAGCGUGUUGAAAGUCUAGUCUUGCGUUCGAUCAAAGAUGUUCAACUGCCUUAUCUGCCGAAUCCACACCCCAGGUGUAACGAUGUGCUACACCAAAUGUCAGCAUUUUUUCCAUCACAAGUGUCUACAGGAAUGGAUUGCUUUGUGUAGCGCCACAGGUAGAGGAGAAAUAUGUCCUGUCUGUUGCCGACCUGUCCUGAUUGAAGAUAGUAUUGUGGUUCAAACUUCCCAAGAAGACUGACUUUGUCUUAAUAGAAAUGUAAAGUACUUCUGAUCUUAAUGCAUAAAGGUACUUUAUAAAUUUUCA